rnacentral:rRNA from 2 species
GAGUGCUUGCACUCAGCGGUCAAAGUGCGAGUGGCGAACGGGUGAGUAACACGUGGGCAAUCUGCCCAAAAGUGGGGGAUAACACUUGGAAACAGGUGCUAAUACCGCAUCAACCGGCUGACCGCAUGGUCGGCCGGGCAAAGACGGCGUCAGCUGUCGCUUUUGGAUGAGCCCGCGGCGUAUUAACUAGUUGGUAAGGUAACGGCUUACCAAGGUGAUGAUACGUAGCCGAACUGAGAGGUUGAUCGGCCACAUUGGGACUGAGACACGGCCCAAACUCCUACGGGAGGCAGCAGUAGGGAAUCUUCCACAAUGGACGCAAGUCUGAUGGAGCAACGCCGCGUGUAUGAAGAAGGUCUUCGGAUCGUAAAAUACUGUUGUCAGAGAAGAACACGUGAUAGAGUAACUGCUAUGACGCUGACGGUAUCUGACCAGCAAGUCACGGCUAACUACGUGCCAGCAGCCGCGGUAAUACGUAGGUGGC